UACCCCGAGGAAAAGAAAUCAACCGAGAUUCCCCCAGUAGCGGCGAGCGAACGGGGAGCAGCCCAGAGCCUGAAUCAGUGUGUGUGUUAGUGGAAGCGUCUGGAAAGGCGCGCGAUACAGGGUGACAGCCCCGUACACAAAAAUGCACAUGCUGUGAGCUCGAUGAGUAGGGCGGGACACGUGGUAUCCUGUCUGAAUAUGGGGGGACCAUCCUCCAAGGCUAAAUACUCCUGACUGACCGAUAGUGAACCAGUACCGUGAG
rnacentral:rRNA from 1 species